AUUGAACGCUGGCGGCAUGCCUUACACAUGCAAGUCGAACGGCAGCACGGGUGCUUGCACCUGGUGGCGAGUGGCGAACGGGUGAGUAAUACAUCGGAACAUGUCCUGUAGUGGGGGAUAGCCCGGCGAAAGCCGGAUUAAUACCGCAUACGAUCUACGGAUGAAAGCGGGGGACCUUCGGGCCUCGCGCUAUAGGGUUGGCCGAUGGCUGAUUAGCUAGUUGGUGGGGUAAAGGCCUACCAAGGCGACGAUCAGUAGCUGGUCUGAGAGGACGACCAGCCACACUGGGACUGAGACACGGCCCAGACUCCUACGGGAGGCAGCAGUGGGGAAUUUUGGACAAAGGGCGAAAGCCUGAUCCAGCAAUGCCGCGUGUGUGAAGAAGGCCUUCGGGUUGUAAAGAACUUUUGUCCGGAAAGAAAUCCUUGGCCCUAAUACGGUCGGGGGAUGACGGUACCGGAAGAAUAAGCACCGGCUAACUACGUG
rnacentral:rRNA from 1 species